rnacentral:rRNA from 1 species
CGAAAGGACCAUAGUUAUAUAAUAAUUAUUUAUUUAUUGAUUAAUAUUAA